UACGGAGGGAGCUAGCGUUGUUCGGAAUUACUGGGCGUAAAGCGCACGUAGGCGGCUUUGUAAGUUAGAGGUGAUAGCCUGGAGCUCAACUCCAGAAUUGCCUUUAAGACUGCAUCGCUUGAAUCCAGGAGAGAUGAGUGGAAUUCCGAGUGUAGAGGUGAAAUUCGUAGAUAUUCGGAAGAACACCAGUGGCGAAGGCGUCAUCACUGGACUGGUGUUGACGCUGAGGUGCGAAAG
rnacentral:rRNA from 1 species